AUACAGAGGGUGCGAGCGUUAAUCGGAAUUACUGGGCGUAAAGCGCGCGUAGGCGGCUACUUAAGUCAGAUGUGAAAUCCCCGGGCUCAACCUGGGAACUGCAUCUGAUACUGGGUAGCUAGAGUUUAGGAGAGGGAAGUAGAAUUUCAGGUGUAGCGGUGAAAUGCAUAGAGAUCUGAAGGAAUACCCGUGGCGAAGGCGGCUUCCUGGCCUAAAACUGACGCUGAGGUGCGAAAGCGUGGGUAGCAAACGGGAUUAGAAACCCCAGUAGUCC
rnacentral:rRNA from 1 species